rnacentral:rRNA from 1 species
UACGGGGGGAGCAAGCGUUGUUCGGAUUUACUGGGCGUAAAGGGCGCGUAGGCGGUCGUGACAAGUCACUUGUGAAAUCUCCGGGCUUAACUCGGAACGGUCAAGUGAUACUGUCGGACUAGAGUACAGAAGGGGCAACUGGAAUUCUCGGUGUAGCGGUGAAGUGCGUAGAUAUCGAGAGGAACACCUGCGGCGAAGGCGGGUUGCUGGGCUGAUACUGACGCUGAGGCGCGAAAGCCAGGGGAGCAAACGGG